rnacentral:lncRNA from 1 species
UGCCGACAAAGUUUCAGAACACCGGCCAGCGCAAGACCACCGACAUCAGACUGAGAUACAACGGCAGCGAUCCUGGAUUUGCAGGGCCAGGAUAAACAAGGGACUGUAGAGACCAUUUUGUCCCAUUCAUUAAUUUUUAGGCAGAACACAGAUCUAGAGAGAAUAGAUGACUUGCCCCAAGCUACCCCGCGAAGGAGGAGGAGGGCCACGGAUAAAUAGUGUGCUUCGAGAAUCUUAACUCUUCGGGGUCAACCUCUCCUUCUACGCCAAGGAAACAGGAUCUUCCUGCAACCCCCCGAGACAACCACCGAACAGUCACCCAACUUAGCACUAGGGCCCAGACGUUCCGUCGAUCGAAUGUACCACGCUCGAUUUCUAGGUCUUUAGCACAACGCAGGAUAAGUCGAUUGGUCGUCCCUGCCGGUCGCUGCUGAGCGCUGAUUGGCUCCGGCUUGGGAAGCGGCAGAAAAGGCCGGCGUGUGGGGCGGGCCUGGGGAAGGGACUCCCGCGGCCCUAAGGUGCUGGCGGGCGUUUGGCGUUGCAGCUGUGUGGGCGCUGGUGCGUGCGAGUAGCGCUCGAAGAAACCCAAAGGCGUCGUGGGGCUGCCGUGUGCCCCAGAGAGCACUGCAGGCCGGGUAGGGGCUAAGGCUCCCCGCAGUCUUCUGUGUGUCGUCCAGUACGCAGUUGAAAUCGUUCUCCAACCUGGCCAGUCCUCCGAGGCCCUUCUCAGGCGACCAGACUCUGUUAACAGAGUCCAUUGCUAAAACUCCUCGUUAGUAUUUACCACUCCUCCAGUCUGUGUUUUGAAGCAGUGGUUUUCAACCACUGCCCGUUUUCAGAAGAAAUCAUCUCAAGCGUCCGUGUGCUGCUAGAAGCCGGGCCGGGAGGUCUUGGUGCCGGACUCCACCCUGCAGCCCUUCCCUUUCGCCACCGCCCUGUGCUUAGAGAAACCUUAGAGUGGAGCAAUGAGUCGCCCUUGACUGAGUAACUCUUCGGGGUCAACUUCUCCUUCCACGCCAAGGAAAGGAUUCCAGGGCGAUGUUUCUGGAAAUAGAGAUCUGACCAAGCCACUGCUCUGGUGAAAAUUCAGUGGGUCCCUAGCACCUAGUGCAGCGGCUCCUAGCCUGAGUAUUGCCGUCUUUCGGUGGGGAGGGGUUGGGUUUUUUUGUAGCAUCUGUUGAUCUGAUCUCCAACAUCCUCCACGUCAAUUCCCACUCCACCCACAUCCCUUAUCCUAUACGUAAGCUUUCCAGCCACGGUGCUGGCUUGGGUGGGGGUGCGUGCGGUGCUGACACCAAAAUGGAGGUCCCGUGUUUCUGAGAGUCUCUUUCAGAGCAAUGCAAACCUGAAACUACUCCUGCCAAGAAACGAUUGCAGCUCUUCCCGGAAAAGUUAAAGCCUUUGAGAAACAAAGCUGAGGUUGAAAGUAUUAGUCCAUUUUAUAGAUGAAGAAAUGGAGGCCCAGAGAGAUCACGUGACUUAGCCAAGUCCACCAAGGCCUAGGGGAUGCCAAAUUCCAGGGUCCAGAAAGAGCUUGGGAUAAAAUGAACAUCCAAGGGGAGGGCUUUGACCUGGGCUGAGUCUGCCUGUGCCGAGUCUGCCUGUGCCAUCCAACUGGAGUCUCAAGUCCUGAGGCAGGACGUCCAGAUGCCCCAGUGCAGGGUCCUCCUGAUCAACACCUGCUCCCCUGUACUCAUUAGCAACCUCACCCACCCUACUCUCAAAGCACACUUGGCUCUCAUAUCCAGGAGCUCUGCAUCUGUAGAUUCAGCAACAGCAGAUGGAAAAUAUUCAGAAAAUAAAUUGGACAGUUAUAUUUCUAUUGAACAUGUGCAGACUUUGUUCUUGUCAUUAUUCCC